rfam:Myotis lucifugus cont2.1609, whole genome shotgun sequence.
CAAGGAGGGAAUUGGUGCUUGCUUUGGCAGCACUGGAAUGAUACGGAGAAGAUUAGCAUGGCCCCUGCACAAGGAUGACACACAAAUUUGUGAAACAUUCCUUAUUAAA